CAAUAGCAUAUAUUAACGUUGUUGCAGUUGAAAAGCUCGUAGUUGAACUUUUGGUAGGAGCGACCUGGCCUUGGGCGCAUGCCCUUGUUUGCCGUGUGUCGUGUCUGGCCAUCCUUUUCUUCGUUUUUCGGAGGAAUCUUUUACUGUGAGUAAACUGGAGUGCUCAAAACAAGACGUUUGUUUGGUACAUUAAAGCAUGGAAUAAUAAGAUAGGACCUGGUUACUAUUUUGUUGGUUUGCAUAGCUAGGUAAUGAUUAACAGGGACAGUUGGGGGUAUUCGUAUUUAAUUGUCAGAGGUGAAAUUCUUGGAUUUAUGAAAGACGAACGACUGCGAAAGCAUUUACCAAGGAUGUUUNCAUUG
rnacentral:rRNA from 1 species